CCUACGGGUGGCAGCAGUGAGGAAUAUUGGUCCAUGGGCGAGAGCCUGAACCAGCCAAGUCGCGUGAGGGAGUACUGCCCUAUGGGUUGUAAACCUCUUUUGUCGGGGAGCAAAAGCCGGACGUGUCCGGCUGUGAGAGUACCCGACGAAAAAGCAUCGGCUAACUCCGUGCCAGCAGCCGCGGUAAUACGGAGGAUGCGAGCGUUAUCCGGAUUUAUUGGGUUUAAAGGGUGCGCAGGCGGAUUUUUAAGUCAGCGGUAAAAUCGUGGGGCUCAACCCCAUCCAGCCGUUGAAACUGGGGAUCUAGAGUGUGCGAGAGGUAUGCGGAAGGCGUGGUGUAGCGGUGAAAUGCAUAGAUAUCACGCAGAACCCCGAUUGCGAAGGCAGCAUACCGGUGCACAACUGACGCUCAGGCACGAAAGCGUGGGUAUCGAACAGGAUUAGAUACCCCUGUAGUC
rnacentral:rRNA from 1 species